rnacentral:rRNA from 1 species
GUGUCAGCAGCCGCGGUAAUACGAAGGACCCGAGCGUUAUCCGGAUUUAUUGGGUUUAAAGGGUGCGUAGGCGGAUUUGCAAGUCAGUGGUGAAAUCCUGCAGCUUAACUGCAGAACUGUCAUUGAAACUGCAUAUCUUGAGUACAUUUGAAGUGGGCGGAAUGUGUCAUGUAGCGGUGAAAUGCUUAGAUAUGACACAGAACACCGAUUGCGAAGGCAGCUCACUAAACUGUCACUGACGCUGAGGCACGAAAGCGUGGGGAUCAAACAGGAUUAGAUACCCGGGUAGUCC